UACGAGUGGUGCAAGCGUUAUUCGGAAUCAUUGGGCGUAAAGAGCUCGUAGGCGGCUUGUCGCGUCGGAUGUGAAAGCCCGGGGCUUAACUCCGGGUCUGCAUUCGAUACGGGCAGGCUAGAGUUCGGUAGGGGAGAUCGGAAUUCCUGGUGUAGCGGUGAAAUGCGCAGAUAUCAGGAGGAACACCGAUGGCGAAGGCAGGUCUCUGGGCAUUAACUGACGCUGAGGAGCGAAAGCAUGGGGAGCGAACAGG
rnacentral:rRNA from 1 species